rnacentral:rRNA from 1 species
CAGCACCUCAAGUGGUCAGGAUGAUUAUUGGGCCUAAAGCAUCCGUAGCCGGCGCUGUAAGUUUUCGGUUAAAUCUGUACGCUCAACGUACAGGCUGCCGGGAAUACUGCAGCGCUAGGGAGUGGGAGAGGUAGACGGUACUCGGUAGGAAGGGGUAAAAUCCUUUGAUCUAUUGAUGACCACCUGUGGCGAAGGCGGUCUACCAAAACACGUCCGACGGUGAGGGAUGAAAGCUGGGGGAGCAAACCGGAUUAGAUACCCGUGUAGUCC